UAGGGAAUCUUCGGCAAUGGGGGGCAACCCUGACCGAGCAACGCCGCGUGAGUGAAGAAGGUUUUCGGAUCGUAAAGCUCUGUUGUAAGAGAAGAACGUGUGUGAGAGUGGUAAGUUCACACAGUGACGGUAACUUACCAGAAAGGGACGGCUAACUACGUGCCAG
rnacentral:rRNA from 1 species